GUCUGCUUAAUUGCGUUAACGAACGAGUAACCUUAACCUGACUAAAUAGUUAUGCCAACUUUUGUUGGUAGCCAACUUCUUAGAGGGACUGUCGGCAUCACGCCGACGGAAGUUUGAGGCAAUAACAGGUCUGUUAUGCCCUUAGAUGUCCUGGGCCGCACGCGCGCUACACUGAUGAAGUCAACGAGUUUAUAACCUUGGCCGGAAGGUCUGGGUAAUCUUUUGAAACUUCAUCGUGCUGGGGAUAGGGCAUUGCAAUG
rnacentral:rRNA from 1 species